CGGGAGGCAGAGGCAGAGAGGCAG
rnacentral:piRNA from 1 species